rnacentral:lncRNA from 1 species
CCUUCAACACCGGCAAUGGUUCAAUUCAUCGAGAGUAAAGAAGAUAAUGUGGCUGCAGUAGAAAAUAUGAUAGAAUAAGAUCGAAGACUAAUGCUUCAUCAGAAUUCUUGUCAGGGACAAUCGAGCAAAUUUUGAAGCACCAUGGGUAAGCCUGUAGGGUGCCUCAAUCGAAGGUCGAGUAUGAUCAUGUGAUCUUCAUAAAAAAGAAAAAAAAAAGGUAUGAUCAUGUGAUGGAAUCUGAUUCAAAAAUACCAG